UACGGAGGGUGCAAGCGUUAAUCGGAAUUACUGGGCGUAAAGCGCACGCAGGCGGUUGAUUGAGUCAGAUGUGAAAUCCCCGGGCUCAACCUGGGAACUGCAUUCGAAACUGGCAGGCUAGAGUCUUGUAGAGGGGGGUAGAAUUCCAUGUGUAGCGGUGAAAUGCGUAGAGAUGUGGAGGAAUACCGGUGGCGAAGGCGGCCCCCUGGACAAAGACUGACGCUCAGGUGCGAAAGCGUGGGGAGCAAACAGG
rnacentral:rRNA from 1 species